AGCGAACGCUGGCGGCAGGCUUAACACAUGCAAGUCGAGCGGAGAUGAGGUGCUUGCACCUUAUCUUAGCGGCGGACGGGUGAGUAAUGCUUAGGAAUCUGCCUAUUAGUGGGGGACAACAUUCCGAUAGGAAUGCUAAUACCGCAUACGCCCUACGGGGGAAAGCAGAGGAUCUUCGGACCUUGCGCUAAUAGAUGAGCCUAAGUCGGGUUACGCUAGUUGGUGGGGUUAAGGCCUACCAAGGCGACGAUCUGUAGCGGGUCUGAGAGGAUGGUACGCCAAACUAGGACUGGGAAACGGCCCAGACUACAACGGGACGAAGCAGUGGGGGAUAUUGGACAAUGGUAGGAAGGCUGUUCCAGCCAUGCCGCGUUUGUGAAGCAGGCCUUUUGGUUGUAAAGCACUUUAAGCGAGGAGGAGGCGACCUGGAUUAAUACUCUAGGAUAGUGGACGUUACUCGCAGAAUAAGCACCGGCUAACUCUGUGCCAGCCGCCGCCGUAACAC
rnacentral:rRNA from 1 species